GUGCUCACUUCAGCAGCACAUACACUAAAAUUGGAACUAUACUGAGAAGAUGAGCAUGGCCCUGCUAAAGAAUGACACACAAAUUCACGAAGCAUUCCAUAUUUUU
ensembl:snRNA U6 U6 spliceosomal RNA